rnacentral:rRNA from 1 species
AACGAACGCUGGCGGCAGGCCUAAUACAUGCAAGUCGAACGCACCGCAAGGUGAGUGGCAGACGGGUGAGUAACGCGUGGGAAUCUUCCUUGCAGUACGGAAUAACUCCGGGAAACCGGUGCUAAUACCGUAUACGCCCUUUGGGGGAAAGAUUUAUCGCUGCAAGAUGAGCCCGCGUCGGAUUAGCUAGUUGGUGGGGUAAUGGCCUACCAAGGGGACGAUCCGUAGCUGGUCUGAGAGGACGAGCAGCCACACUGGGACCGAGCAACGGCCCAGACGCCUACGGGAGGCAGCAGUAGGGAAUAUUGGACAAUGGGCGAAAGCCUGAUCCAGCCAUGCCGCGUGAGUGAAGAAGGCCUUAGGGUUGUAAAGCUCUUUUGGCGGGGACGAUAAUGACGGUACCCGCAGAAUAAGCUCCGGCUAACUUCGUGCCAGCCGCCGCCGUAAGAC